AGCAGCCGCGGUAAUUCCAGCUCCAAUAGCGUAUAUUAAAGUUGUUGCAGUUAAAAAGCUCGUAGUUGAAUUUCGGGGUCAGUAGGUUGGUCGUGCCACUGGUAUGUACUGGUCUCACUGAUUCCUCCUUCCUGAUGAACUGUAAUGCCAUUAAUUUGGUGUUGCAGGGAAUCUGGACUGUUACUUUGAAAAAUUAGAGUGUUUAAAGCAGGCUAACGCCUGAAUACAUUAGCAUGGAAUAAUGAAAUAGGACGUUCGAUCCUAUUUUGUUGGUUUCUAGGAUUGACGUAAUGAUUAAUAGGGAUAGUUGGGGGCAUUAGUAUUCAAUUGUCAGAGGUGAAAUUCUUGGAUUUAUUGAAGACUAACUACUGCGAAAGCAUUUGCCAAGGAUGUUUUCAUUAAUCAAGAACGAAAGUUAGGGGAUCGAAGACGAUCAGAUACCGUCGUAGUCUUAACCAUAAACUAUGCCGACUAGGGAUCGGAUGAUGUUAAUUUUUAAUGACUCAUUCGGCUACCG
rnacentral:rRNA from 1 species